rnacentral:lncRNA from 1 species
AUCUAUGAAGGGACAUCAUUUCUGAGCCCAUUGAGACUUGUAGUGAAAAACCAAGCAUCCCCUGAUAAAUAGGUAGUAGAAACAAACUACCUAUGAAAAUGCUUUUUGAUUUGUGGAUUUAUCUCACAGUGUUAAAUUUUUGAUUUGAUUCAACUGGUUGAAAACAUUCUUUAUGUAGAAUCUAUGAAGAGACGUUUUUGAGCUUAUCGAGAUGUAAGGUGAGAAACUGAAUAUCCCGCUAUGCAAAGUACAAACAAGCUCUCUGUGAAAAUGCUUUGUUAUAUGGGGAUUCUUCUCACUGAAUGGAUCUUGUGUUGUGAUUCACUGGGUUGGAAACACUUUUUUUUAGAAUCUAUGAAGGGACAUUUCCGAGGCCAUCGAGGCCUAUAGUGAACAACAGAAUAUUCUGUGAUAAAAACUAGAAACAACCUACCUGUGAAAACGAUUUGUGAUCUUUGGAUUCAUCUCACCACAUGGAACCUGUGUUUUGAUUCAGCUGGUUGGAAAAACUCUUUUUGUGGAAUCUACCAAAGGAUAUUUCUAAGCCCGUUGAGGCCUAUAUUAAAUUGAUUAUCUCAUGGUUGAAAGCAUUCUUUUUGUAGAAUCUAUGAAAAGACAUUUCUGAGCUUAUUCUGGUUUAUAGAGUAAAACCGAAUAUCCUGAAAUAAAAACUGGAAACUAGGUAUGUAUGAAAAUGCUUUGUGAUGGGUGGAGUUAUCUCAGAGUAAAAUCUUUGUUUUGAUUCAACAGGUUGGAAAUACUCUUAGUGUAGAAUAUAUGAAGGGACAAUUUCAAAGACCAUUAAGGCCUAUAGUGAAAAAACAAAUAUACUGCAAUAUAAACUAGAAACAAGCUAUACGUGAAAAUGUUUUGUGAUGAGUGGAUUUAUCUCACAGAG